rnacentral:rRNA from 1 species
AACGAACGCUGGCGGCAUGCCUAACACAUGCAAGUCGAACGAGACCUUCGGGUCUAGUGGCGCACGGGUGCGUAACGCGUGGGAACCUGCCCUUAGGUUCGGAAUAACUCCCCGAAAGGGGUGCUAAUACCGGAUAAUAUCUUCGGACCAAAGAUUUAUCGCCUUUGGAUGGGCCCGCGUUGGAUUAGCUAGUUGGUAGGGUAAAAGCCUACCAAGGCGACGAUCCAUAGCUGGUCUGAGAGGCUGAUCAGCCACACUGGGACUGAGACACGGCCCAGACUCCUACGGGAGGCAGCAGUGGGGAAUAUUGGACCAUGGGCGAAAGCCUGAUCCAGCAAUGCCGCGUGAGUGAUGAAGGCCUUAGGGUUGUAAAGCUCUUUUACCCGGGCUGAUAAUGACAGUACCGGGAGAAUAAGCUCCGGCUAACUCCGUG